rnacentral:rRNA from 1 species
CCUACGGGGGACAGCAGUGGGGAAUAUUGGGCAAUGGGCGCAAGCCUGACCCAGCAACGCCGCGUGAAGGAAGAAGGCUUUCGGGUUGUAAACUUCUUUUCUCAGGGACGAAGAAAGUGACGGUACCUGAGGAAUAAGCCACGGCUAACUACGUGCCAGCAGCCGCGGUAAUACGUAGGUGGCAAGCGUUAUCCGGAUUUAUUGGGUGUAAAGGGCGUGUAGGCGGGAGCGCAAGUCAGAUGUGAAAACUCAGGGCUCAACCCUGAGCCUGCAUUUGAAACUGUGUUUCUUGAGUGCUGGAGAGGCAAUCGGAAUUCCGUGUGUAGCGGUGAAAUGCGUAGAUAUACGGAGGAACACCAGUGGCGAAGGCGGAUUGCUGGACUGCAACUGACGUUGAGGCCCGAAAGCGUGGGGAGCAAACAGGAUUAGAUACCCGGGUAGUC